rnacentral:rRNA from 1 species
CGCUGGCGGCGUGCCUAAUACAUGCAAGUCGAACGGCUUUUCUAUGGAAGCUUGCUUCCACUGAGAAGAUAGUGGCGAACGGGUGAGUAACACGUGGGUAACCUGCCCAUAAGAGGGGGGAUAACAUCCGGAAACGGGUGCUAAUACCGCAUAGUUUUCUUGAUCGCAUGAUUGAGAAAGGAAAGAUGGCCUUUGUGCUGUCGCUUAUGGAUGGACCCGCGGCGUAUUAGUUAGUUGGUGAGGUAACGGCUCACCAAGACGAUGAUACGUAGCCGACCUGAGAGGGUGAUCGGCCACAUUGGGACUGAGACACGGCCCAAACUCCUACGGGAGGCAGCAGUAGGGAAUCUUCCGCAAUGGACGAAAGUCUGACGGAGCAACGCCGCGUGAGUGAAAGAAGGUUUUCGGAUCGUAAAACUCUGUUGUCAGAGAAGAACAAGUUGGAGAGUAACUGCUCCAGCCUUGACGGUAUCUGACCAGAAAGCCACGGCUAACUACGUGCCAGCCGCCGC